UUAAGGAAACAUUCAAACUAUUUUGGAAUAACUGGAGAAAAGAAAAGAGAUGUUUUUCUAAUUUGAGACAGUGGUGGGAUGUGGGGAAAAUCCAAAUUAAAAUAUUCUGUCAGCAAUUCACCCAAAACAUCACUAGUGAGUUGAAUGCAGUGGCCAGCCAGCUAGAGAAUGAGAUUUUAGAGAUUGAGAGAGAGCUGGGCGGUCAGAGCACGGAAGGGGCUUAUCGCAGCUUGAAAGAGAGGAAACAGCGCCUGGGCAGCCUGCUGGAGGAGAAGGUCAACGGGUCCCUGAAAAGAACAAGAUUUGUGGAAGAGACAUGGCCGCCCCACGACCUUCUUCUUCAGCUUGGAGAAGAAAGAAGCUGAAAGAAAACAAAUGCUUACACUGAGGCUGCCCGGGGGGAGAGAGGUCUCCAGCCCUGCGGAGCUUCGUCAGGCCGCGGUGACAUUUUAUUCAGAACUGUACCAGGCUGAGGGCUGCGACCAGCAGGAGACGGAGCGGCUGUUGGAAGGUCUCCCUCACCUGGGUGAGGAGGAAAGCCGCGGCCUGGACACCGCCAUCACAUUGGAGGAGCUCACAACCGCCGUCACACAGCUCUCCAAUGGAACAGCACCUGGGCUGGAUGGGCUGCCCGCUGAAUUCUAUAAACAUUUCUGGAGUUGCAUUGGAAAUGAUUUAUACCAGGUGCUGAAUGAAUGUGUGGCGGAGGGAGAGCUGCCUCUGAGCUGCCGCAGGGCAGUACUGACUUUACUACCCAAAAAAGGAGACCUCUGUGAGCUGAAGAACUGGCGUCCUGUGUCGUUGCUGUGCUGCGAUUAUAAGGUUUUUUCCAAAGCUUGGUAGCAUCCAUGCUGUGGCACAGAUUAAUGUGUGUCUGGACCCUCCCCCAGGGCUGCUGGAGCAGGUCCAGAAAAAACUAGUUAAUUUUUUUUGGGAUGGAAACCACUGGCUGAAACCAGCAGUACUGUACCUGCCCCGAGACAAAGGAGGGCAGGGGCUGAUUGACAUCCCCUCCCGGGUCGCUGCGUUCAGAUUGCAGGCAGCCCAGAGCCUGCUGUACACCCCUGAGCUGAGCUGGAGAGGCAUGGCUUUGUCCCUCCUCAAGAGAGUUGGGGGGCUUGGUUUAGACAGACAGCUGUUUUUAAUGACCCCCAGUAAAGUUAUUAGAACUGAGCUGGAAAGCUUUUACAGGAACAUGUUAAAUGCCUGGGGGGUAAUUAAGAUUUAAAGGACAGAUGAAAGCCUCUGUACAUGUUUUAUUUUUGAGGAGCCUUUGUUUUUUAAUAGCAUUUUUAACAUUGAUGCUUUUAAUUCUAAACAGCUUUUUUUAGUGUUUUUACAGGCCGGAGUCACCACCCUGGGUCACCUGGUAGACUAGACUGAGUGGCGAUGGAAGAGCGGGGCCGAGUUGACUGCAGUGUUGGGCCUGCGCUCGGUGCGCUUCAUAGAGAGGGUGUUGGGAGAGAUCCGAGCCUCCCUGAACCCAGCAGCCUCUCAGAGAGGCAGGCCCCUGAGUGUGAGCCUGAUUUCCCCUCAAUGCUGCUCUCCCCUGCGCUGCCGGAGGAGGAGGGGGGGGGAGCGACCCGGGAUGCUGUUAUCCCUGGAUGAAGAGACCAAUUUACAGUUUCACUCUGCAGAGAAGAGGCAGCUGUCCAAGCGCUCCGGGGACCUGCAGUGGAGAGUGUUGCAUGGUAUUGUCGCCACGAACCGCUGGCUGAACCGAGUUGACCCAGAUUGUGGAAAUGUAAUGAGCUUAUACUGUAGGUUCCCAGCCUCUCUGUAAGGCCAUUCCACCAGGAUGUUCUUGCUGUCUGAAACUGAAAAACGCAGCUAGUCUGCCUUGCAUGCGUGGGAGUUGUUGUUCACAUUGUUCAACAGAAAACCAGAUGGCACCUGAGUCUUGGAAAAGCUGAGAGACAGCAAGUCAGUCACUGGCAGUAAACCCUUCAUUAAUAGAUCUGGAACAAGUGCAUCAUUGGACACCGCCCCAGCCAAUCAAGAUGCAGCAUCCGAGGUUAGUAUCGGCCAUUAAAGGCCUGCAAGUGAAAACAACAAGCCUCAUCACUUGGAUUGAAUUCCAGUGCCUUUGUCUGACACAUCUGUCGCCUUCAUGUUUUUUGAACUCAAAAGCAAAGAUUGCAAGUUGGAUUAUGAAGGGUCCUAAACAGAAGAAAAAUGUAUUCAACAAAAUAAUGUCCUAGGUUAUCUUUAGCAGCACUCUGUUUAUUGGUAUGAAACAAGGCUUCAUGUUGCACAGACAGACGCUACAGCAAGCGGACAGAUGAUUCCCUUCCCAGCAGGUUAACACCGCCAUCAGGGGACUGCUUUCAUCCAGUACCAGUAACAGUGUGAAAAAGCAAGCCAAUGCUGAAAAUCUGCCAUGCACACUAACCACAUGAAUGACAAAGCUUCUGUGAGUCACAUUCACAUGUUACACUUUAGAAAUUUCAUGCACUGUUUCCAGGAGACCCCCUACCAUAUCCAUGCCCAGGGUUCAAGGACCUCAUCUGCUCCGUGGGAUUCAACGGUCUGCUCCCAAACCUUCAUCUUCCAAGUUGCCUAUCACAAAGGAAGUCCUGGAAUCCAUGAGCAACACCCUACAUUCAGGCUGCUUUUCACCACACAAAGAUGUCCUUCUGGAAGCAAUGUUCAUCUCGGACUUCUGCAGGUUUCUACGAUGUGGCGAAAUUACCUGCCGGAACCAGUCAUUCGAUCCAUCCUCAGACCUCUGAUAGGAGAUCUCCAUCGUCAAUCUCAGGUCAUGUACUCUUUACAUUUAAAACAUUUGAAAUCAGACUGGGAAAAGAAAGGCGUAUAUAUGUUCAUUUAUCAAAAACUCAUCGUAUUAUUUGGCCUCUCUUUUCAGCUAUCUGUCAAUGCGUCCGACGGCCAGCAACCAGGAUCCCGUUUCUCACAUUUCUCACGGAAGGGAAAGUUGUGUCCAGGAACUGGUUCUGUGACCAUCUUCAUCUGUGUCUUCUUCCUGCUGACAACUACUUCAGACAUUCGUUCAGGAUCGGCGCUGCAACUUCUGCCACUUCCAGGAACAUCGCUCCACACCAAUCAAGGCUAUGGGGAGAUGGACUUCAGAACCCGGAGGAAGGGUAACCCUCGGCCAUGGAUUCCCUAAGGUUUCCCCCUAUCUCCUUGCAAGCGAGAGACGGGAUAAUCAUGCCCUAAAUCGGGAGUCUGCUUGGCAGGUAUGUAUCUGUUCUCAAAACACCCCAUCCUAAGCACAAACACCGAAAUAAAUGCUGGAGAAAAAACAAUUGUACCCCAUUGGAAAUACAUAAAAAAUAUGAAUACCCACAAAAAUAUAGCUGUUGGGACGAAGCAAGUCAUUAGUAGGCAUCCCUAUCGGUAUGGUGUGUGGUUAUAUCAUUGUUGAAACACUGCUAAAACAUGAAGGGGUUUAUUUUUCUGCGCAUGCGCCAGAGUACGCGACGGUGCUGAGGAAAUGCAAUUUUUCAUAAUAAUGACGUACUUUGCCAAUGUUGCCGUUUUCUUCAAGAGAGCGUGGCAGAAUUUAAAUUUGAAAAUCUGCCAAAAUCAGCGAAAUAUGACACAGCUCCAUUGCCACAAUAGAGUUUUGUCUCCUGAGCUCAUCUCUCUUGGCACGCAGUGUGAUUGAAGUACAGGCGGAUUUGAGUAGCUUGUUACAACCUCCGUGUCUCAGCGGAGAACUACCCACACCAUUAAGCAAUCUUAACUUACACUUGCAUGUAAAAAGACAAUUGUCUGACCAGCGUUAUCAUCGCCUCCUUCAGAAGUAACCGCACAUUUGAUAGGCUAAACAUUCAGUCAUGAGAUCCUGCUGUUUAUUCCUCCUGCUUCUGUUGUGUGCAGCACCAUUAGAUGGCACCGAGUUAAACCUACAUGUACUGGAAGAAAUUGUGGGCACCAUCACUCCUGCAUCUGUACCCACUUAACCACUUUGACACACUCCUCUAAUCAGUGUGGCAGCAGGGUGGAGUAGUGGUCAGAGCUCUGGACUCUGGACUCUGGACCGGAGGGUCGUGGGUUCAAUCCCAGGUGGGGGACACUGCUGCUGUACCCUUGAGCAAGGUUUGCCACUGCAGCAGGACUAAGACCUAGUGAUCUUGAGUUGAAGCAGUUUGGAUUCCUGAUGGCUUUAACGCCACAGCAGUGUACCGGUGACAGUAGAGUGCGGUACAGGCCUUUCAAUCAGAACACUGGUGUUCGUGUAACAGGAAGCCCUAACUUUUUUACAAAUGUUCCAGAUUUAAACUAUAUGGCUGUCUAUCCUUACAUAGGAAACGUGUGCUCCGAGAAGAAGAUUUUUUUCUCACGGGAUCAAAACUAGCCUAGCCCUGCUCAAAAUUUUGCAAAUAACGCAGACAAAAUCCUGAGGGCUGGUGGGUGCGUGUUGUUUUUCACCACAAACACCCCCUGCCUGGAGAAGUGUUUCAGUGGCAAGCAGGACUGUGACAUUGUCAGCCCAUUACUCGCACAGCCAUUCUCUAACUGGGGCAAUUCCAAUAUCAAUAGGCCCAUUCACAAGUAUUUCAUUUACACCAAGGUGUUUGGAAGAGAUAGUAUGAAUCUUGUUAGUAUUAAAGAGGGCUUCACAAGGCUUGAUAACAGCAAUAGUGUAAAUUGCAUUCCUUGUGAUGCCAAUAAUAAUUUCUGCUUGUAAGUUUAAGCCAAUGCUUCAAAUUGCAAUUUACCAAACAAGUAAUAAUGAUUCCUUACAUCAUUACCAGUCUUUAUUCUAUAAUAGCAUGCAAUACCUUUCUAGAAAACAGUCCUGUUUGUAAUAACUCAAGGGCCUCUAAGCUUUAUUUUGUCAUUUUCCACUUGUACUUUCUUCACUGUAAUUGUGA